GAAAAAACAGUUUUGCGGUUUUCGCGAUUUUGCGAAAAAAAAUUAUAGACGCAAAUGGGCGUGGCCUAUGCCAAAAGAUGCAGCAGACUCCAGUGAAUAUGUGGGUACAAGUUUUUGACUGUGGGAGGUUCGGUGUGGGAGCUAUAGCCCCAAACGUGUUUCUCCUUGGUAUAGCGCCACCUAGUGGCCGGCAUGUCUGGAUUUAGUCGUCUGCCGUCACCUCACGGACCUGGAUCUAGUCAUGUAAUUGGCGUGUCGGCACCAUUUACGGUUUGGGCUGUGGUACCACUUCUAGCUGGGAAUAAUAAUAAUAGGAAGAAAAAUCCUUACAAAAACAAUAGGGAUCCAACCUGUUGGCUUGGACCCCUAAUAAUCCUUACAAAAACAAUAGGGAUCCAACCUGUUGGCUUGGACCCCUAACUAGAACUGCA
ensembl:lncRNA